UCAGAUUGCAGGCUGCAACUCGCCUGCAUGAAGUCGGAAUUGCUAGUAAUCGCAGAUCAGCAUGCUGCGGUGAAUACGUUCCCGGGCCUUGUACACACCGCCCGUCACACCAUGGGAGUCGGUAACACCCGAAGUCGGUAGCCUAACCGUAAGGAGGGCGCCGCCGAAGGUGGGAUUGAUGACUGGGGUGAAGUCGUAACAAGGUAUC
rnacentral:rRNA from 1 species